AGAGUUUGAUCCUGGCUCAGAACGAACGCUGGCGGCAUGCCUAACACAUGCAAGUCGAACGAGACCUUCGGGUCUAGUGGCGCACGGGUGCGUAACGCGUGGGAAUCUGCCCUUGGGUUCGGAACAACAGUUGGAAACGACUGCUAAUACCGGAUGAUGACUUCGGUCCAAAGAUUUAUCGCCCAAGGAUGAGCCCGCGUCGGAUUAGCUAGUUGGUGAGGUAAAAGCUCACCAAGGCGACGAUCCGUAGCUGGUCUGAGAGGAUGAUCAACCCCACUGCGACUGAGACACGGCCCAGACUCCUACG
rnacentral:rRNA from 1 species